CGCUGUGCUAUCGCUCCAGUCCUGCAACACCUAUCACCCCAUUGAUGGCCAGGGUUGGUCCAGCUGAUCUGGCUGGCUAGGCGGGUGUUCCCUUCCUCCCUCACCACUCCAUGUGAGUCCCUCCUGAAGCUGUGCACUCAGUCGAAGAGGACGGCCUUCCCCGAAUAGAGACAGAUCAUUCUUCGGUUGAGGGUUUAAGAGUAGCUGCGCUCUCCUGCUAGAACCUCCAAACAAGCUCUCAGGAGCUGACUAUAGGGUAGAAAAACUGGAAUUACAGAGCUGUGUUCAAAUCCUUU
rnacentral:snRNA from 1 species